rnacentral:rRNA from 1 species
AACGUAGGUGGCAAGCGUUAUCCGGAUUUACUGGGCGUAAAGCAUGUGCAGACGGGUUGGUAAGUGGUGUAUGAAAGCGUUCGGCUUAACCGAGUAAGCGUAUGCCAGACUGCCAGUCUUGAGAGUGGGAGAGGGAUGUGGAAUUCCGGGUGUAGUGGUGAAAUGCGUAGAGAUCGGAAAGAACACCAACGGCGAAAGCACUCUGCUGGGCCGACACUGACACUGAGAGACGAAAGCUAGGGGAGCGAAUGGG